UACGUAGGUGGCAAGCGUUGUCCGGAAUUAUUGGGCGUAAAGCGCGCGCAGGCGGUCCUUUAAGUCUGAUGUGAAAUCUCGCGGCUCAACCGCGAGCGGCCAUUGGAAACUGGGGGACUUGAGUGCAGAAGAGGAAAGCGGAAUUCCACGUGUAGCGGUGAAAUGCGUAGAGAUGUGGAGGAACACCAGUGGCGAAGGCAGCUUUCUGGUCUGUAACUGACGCUGAGGCGCGAAAGCGUGGGGAGCAAACGGG
rnacentral:rRNA from 1 species